GAGCGCGCCUACAGCGACAACGAAGUGCGCAUCCGCGCCCUGCUCCAGGACAUCGCCGUCCAGCGCGACAACCUGGUCGGCCAGGCCGAACAGGUCCGCAACGCCAUUUCCGGCGUGCAGAUCGAUCUGCGUCAGGACAUCGCCCUGAUCAGCGACGCCAUCGCCUCGCGCGUGGAUGAGGUGGCCAGCAGCAUCACCGGCGCUCUU
rnacentral:misc_RNA from 1 species